AAAGUUGAAAAGAGUGGGUGAUACCUGGCGGCCGACAACCCACGGCUUCCGCGUCUUGUUAUAAGUAACGCUAGCAUGCCACGCCCUUCUAAAUACACACCAACUGAAUGGGCGGGGCAUGCUAAUGAUAUUUAUAACUAUAUACCGAGACGCGGAAGCCGUGGGUUGUCGGCCCCUAGGUAUUACCCACUCUUUUCAUUUUUGCGUUGUCCGGCAAAAGUGGACGGAGUAUUAUUUGAUUCCAGCAUCUCCCGAAUUUUUCAUCUCUCAAUUCGAGCCAAUUU
ensembl:ncRNA F33C8.5 ncRNA